GAUGAACGCUGGCAGAAUGCUUAACACAUGCAAGUCAACUUGAACUUCGGUUUGGGUGGCGGACGGGUGAGUAACGCGUAAAGAACUUGCCUCACAGAUAGGGACAACAUUUGGAAACGAAUGCUAAUACCAGAUAUUAUGAUUUUAGGGCAUCCUAGGAUUAUGAAAGCUAUAUGCGCUGUGGGAGAGCUUUGCGUCCCAUUAGCUAGUUGGAGAGGUAACGGCUCACCAAGGCGAUGAUGGGUAGCCGGCCUGAGAGGGUGAUCGGCCACAAGGGGACUGAGACACGGCCCUUACUCCUACGGGAGGCAGCAGUGGGGAAUAUUGGACAAUGGACCAAGAGUCUGAUCCAGCAAUUCUGUGUGCACGAUGAAGUUUUUCGGAAUGUAAAGUGCUUUCAGUUGGGAAGAGAAAAAUGACGGUACCAACAGAAGAAGUGACGGCUAAAUACGUG
rnacentral:rRNA from 1 species